CUUGGUGCACAUGAUGACUGACCUUUUUUCCCCAGCAGAUCGAUAGUGUUGACUCCCUUAAUCAAUUUAAGCCAAUUUAUCUGAAGCACCUUC
rfam:Danio rerio chromosome 11, GRCz11 reference primary assembly.